rnacentral:lncRNA from 1 species
UUUUCUCAUAUAUACAAUGGAUAUAACAGAGAUAUCCAUCCCCCACCAUGUAAGCUCAAGACAAUGAAUUUCUCAGCCCACUAACUCAAAUCUAGUCCUGGAGCUGUGCUCAUGGGGUAGCAGAAUGGUGGUGGACCAAAGACUUGUAGAAUAGAAUAGGCCUCUUUCUGGCUGGCAAGAAAAGGGUGCUUGAAGUAGGCAGGACAGGACUCCCAUUCUCAUGAAACUGGAUAACUGGUUGGCCCAAGCUCAGGAAGACACUGUGACACCCCCACUUAUGU